UCUCCGUUGGUGAACCAGCGGAGGGAUCAUUAUCGAGUUUAUAACUCCCAAACCCUAUGUGAACUUACCACCUGUUGCUUCGGCGCGCGCUUCGGCGCCGCCGAGGACACUUAAACUCUUUGUUUUUAUAAGCAUUUCUGUGUGGCCGAAAGGCAAAAUACAAAUGAAUCAAAACUUUCAACAACGGAUCUCUUGGUUCUG
rnacentral:misc_RNA from 1 species